UAUACUUUGUUUUGAAUGUUCUUAUUGUUGUUGUGGAGGAAGUCUUGGUUGGUACUGCUGGGAGUUUUGUUGCCUUGCUUGAUAACUAAAAUUGAGAUGUCCCUCCAUCUUGGAUUGUAAGUGUUAGAAAAGGGGUUAUAUAUUCUUUGUGGUUUGUUGUGAAUCCUCCUAUUGUGUUGGUAUGUUGUUGGUCAUCUUCUUACAGUGUAUGACACAUAUUAGUAAGAUGCCU
rnacentral:lncRNA from 1 species